GGCAGACGGGUGAGUAACGCGUGGGGAAUCUACCUCUUAGUGGGGAAUAACGCUCCGAAAGGAGUGGUAAUACCGCAUGAGACCUUCGGCUGGGAUGCUGGAGGUGAAACCUGGGGACCGCAAGGCCUGGGGCUAGGAGAGGAUCCUGCGUCUGAUUAGCUAGUUGGCGGGGUAAUGGCCCACCAAGGCGACGAUCAGUAGCCGGCCUGAGAGGGUGAUCGGCCACACUGGAACUGAGACACGGUCCAGACUCCUACGGGAGGCAGCAGUGGGGAAUUUUGCGCAAUGGACGAGAGUCUGACGCAGCAACGCCGCGUGGGUGAUGAAGGUCUUCGGACUGUAAAACCCUGUCGUCAGGGACGAAGGUGGCAGUGUUAAUAGCGCUGUUACUUGACGGUACCUGGAGAGGAAGCCCCGGCUAACUCUGUGCCAGCAGCCGCGGUAAUACAGAGGGGGCAAGCGUUAUUCGGAAUUAUUGGGCGUAAAGGGCGCGUAGGCGGUUUUUUAAGUCAGAUGUGUAAUCCCCGAGCUCAACUUGGGAACUGCAUCUGAGACUGGAAGGCUAGAGUACUGGAGAGGGUGGUGGAAUUCCUCGUGUAGCGGUGAAAUGCGUAGAGAUGAGGAGGAACACCAGUGGCGAAGGCGGCCACCUGGACAGUAACUGACGCUGAGGCGCGAAAGUGUGGGUAGCAAACAGGAUUAGAUACCCUGGUAGUCGACGCUGUAAACGAUGAACACUUGGUGUGGAGGGAGUUGACCCCUUCCGUGCCUGAGCUAACGCGUUAAGUGUUCCGCCUGCGGAGUACGGUCGCAAGGCUGAAACUCGAAGGAAUUGACGGGGGCCCUCACAAAUCAUGGGAUCAUGUGGUUUAAUUCGACGCAGCAUGAGAACCUUACCUGGGCUUGAACUGCAGUGAUCGUACGAAAUGCGCUUUUUCGCAGGACUGCUGCGAAGUGCUUCAAGGAUGUCCUCCCUCUGUCAGGGACAUGUGGGU
rnacentral:rRNA from 1 species